rnacentral:rRNA from 1 species
AACGAACGCUGGCGGCAUGCCUAAUACAUGCAAGUCGAACGAGAUCUUCGGAUCUAGUGGCGCACGGGUGCGUAACGCGUGGGAAUCUGCCCUUGGGUUCGGAAUAACUUCUGGAAACGGAAGCUAAUACCGGAUGAUGACGUAAGUCCAAAGAUUUAUCGCCCAAGGAUGAGCCCGCGUAGGAUUAGGUAGUUGGUGAGGUAAAGGCUCACCAAGCCGACGAUCCUUAGCUGGUCUGAGAGGAUGAUCAGCCACACUGGGACUGAGACACGGCCCAGACUCCUACGGGAGGCAGCAGUAGGGAAUAUUGGACAAUGGGCGAAAGCAUGAUCCAGCAAUGCCGCGUGAGUGAUGAAGGCCUUAGGGUUGUAAAGCUCUUUUACCCGGGAUGAUAAUGACAGUACCGGGAGAAUAAGCUCCGGCUAACUCCGUG